GAUGAACGCUGGCGGCGUGCCUAAUACAUGCAAGUCGAGCGAACAGACGAGGAGCUUGCUCCUCUGACGUUAGCGGCGGACGGGUGAGUAACACGUGGAUAACCUACCUAUAAGACUGGGAUAACUUCGGGAAACCGGAGCUAAUACCGGAUAAUAUAUUGAACCGCAUGGUUCAAUAGUGAAAGACGGUUUUGCUGUCACUUAUAGAUGGAUCCGCGCCGCAUUAGCUAGUUGGUAAGGUAACGGCUUACCAAGGCAACGAUGCGUAGCCGACCUGAGAGGGUGAUCGGCCACACUGGAACUGUGACACGGUCCAGACUCCUGCGGGAGGCAGCAGUAGGGAAUCUUCCGCAAUGGGCGAAAGCUUGACGGAGCAACGCCGCGUGAGUGAUGAAGGUCUUCGGAUCGUAAAACUCUGUUAUUAGGGAAGAACAAAUGUGUAAGUAACUAUGCACGUCUUGACGGUACCUAAUCAGAAAGCCACGGCUAACUACGUG
rnacentral:rRNA from 1 species